rnacentral:rRNA from 1 species
UAGGGAAUCUUCCACAAUGGGCGCAAGCCUGAUGGAGCAAUACCGCGUGAGUGAAGAAGGGUUUCGGCUCGUAAAGCUCUGUUGUUAAAGAAGAACACGUAUGAGAGUAACUGUUCAUACGUUGACGGUAUUUAACCAGAAAGUCACGGCUAACUACGUGCUAG